CAAGAUCUUUGCCUAAUUUAUCCCAACUAGGCACAGUAAGGCUGCCCGAAAAUGCAAACCACGGUGCAGCGAUAUCUAUCUUCUGUAAAAAUCUCUGUAAAGUACUAUGUUUCACUUCCAGUCCCUUGGAACGUAACAGGCCAUCUAGGGCCAGGAGAAGCGGACUUGAAGAUGCGGCACCCAUGACACAACAACAAAGGAAGCACAAAAAACAGAAAGCGAAAGUAGAAGCGAAAGUACACAGUGCAGCUGCAAUAAAAUGUAAGGCUCUCUCUUUCAUUACAGAGGAGCUGUCCCGCUUUGGUCGCGGAUCCCACUUACUAGGGACUAACCCCGCUUUGAUCGCGGAUCCCACUUAUUGGGACUAACCCCGCUUUGGUCGCGGAUCCCACUUACCUGGGACUAACCCCGCUUUGGUCGCGGAUCCCACUUACCUGGGACUAACCGGUGCACCACCCCUGACUGCUGAAAGUUCUGGUUCCCGGGUCUCGGCACCACUUGUCGCGACCCCUUGCCCGCAAGGAAGACGCAACUCAGGAAUCUUCUUUCAGCAGUUUAUUCAGGCCCUUGAUAUUUCUUCUUCUCCCUCUCUGAUGCCCCUCCCAGCCUUAAUAAAGCAUCCCAAGCCCCAAUGCAAAGCUGCCGCGUGGAACUUUCUCACAGGGUGAUGAAAAAUCAUGUGCCAACUUUCCCAGAUAAGAAGUUGUUUGUCACAGACCACAGCGGAGCCAGCGCCAUCUUGUAAUGGCGACCAUAAUCUGCAGAAACGGCAGAAGCGGCUCACCACACUAGAGAAUAUUCUUUAUCCACAGAAAAAUAACCUAAAGAAUCUUAAUUUCUAUCAUUCUCAGUCUAUAGCCUAAAGUCCUCUAGUAACUCAGAAAAAGUGCAUGUAGUAACCUUCCUUCUCCAGAGAAUCCUGGGGAUUAAAUCCUGUUGGUACAUUACAAUUCUCCUGAUACUGAGCCUUCAAAAUUAAGCAGACUUUCCUCUUUUCCCCAAAAAAUUUCACUCACCAACAUAUUAAGUAUGUUUGAAUUUCAUAAAAUUCAAUCUGAAAGUCAGUGAAACUGUAUACACAGGAUCCUCUAACAUUUCCAUAAUAGUGAAUGGUCUCAAGUUUUUAUUUCUCUACAUAACUCUAUACAACAACCCUAUGAGAAAUGGAAAGCACCAAAUACCCACACUUUAUAAAUGAUAAAACUGAGGACCAAAGGAAGUAAUUUUACUAGUUGGCAAAAUUGGCAACCAAGCCUGGGACAUUUUCCCCUUACUAUAACCAUGUCUUUUUUAUAUAAAUGCUUGAGGGACUUGUUUCUCCUAAGGGGGAAAGUAGAAGAUGGUUUAUCUAAACAGCAUCAACUGUGGACAUGGUAGUUACAACUUGUUUCAUGCAUUACUUUAUCUGCUGAUGAAUUUUCCCUCAAACAACAAAACCA
rnacentral:lncRNA from 1 species